AUCACUUCUUGGCCUUUUGGCUAGAUCAAGUGUAGAAUCUGUUCUUAUCAGUAUAAAAGAAAUAAUGCCUGAGCCAAUCUUAGAAGAUGAAUAUGUAUACCUU
rnacentral:snRNA from 1 species